AUUGAACGCUGGCGGAAUGCUUUACACAUGCAAGUCGAACGGCAGCACGGGGGCAACCCUGGUGGCGAGUGGCGAACGGGUGAGUAAUAUAUCGGAACGUGCCCAGUCGUGGGGGAUAACGUAGCGAAAGUUACGCUAGUACCGCAUACGAUCUACGGAUGAAAGCGGGGGAUCGCAAGACCUCGCGCGAUUGGAGCGGCCGAUAUCAGAUUAGGUAGUUGGUGGGGUAAAGGCUCACCAAGCCAACGAUCUGUAGCUGGUCUGAGAGGACGACCAGCCACACUGGGACUGAGACACGGCCCAGACUCCUACGGGAGGCAGCAGUGGGGAAUUUUGGACAAUGGGCGCAAGCCUGAUCCAGCCAUUCCGCGUGCAGGACGAAGGCCUUCGGGUUGUAAACUGCUUUUGUACGGAACGAAAAAGCCUUGGCUAAUACCCAGGGUCCAUGACGGUACCGUAAGAAUAAGCACCGGCUAACUACGUGCCAGCAGCCGCUGUAA
rnacentral:rRNA from 1 species